GAUGAACGCUGGCGGCGUGCCUAAUACAUGCAAGUCGAACGAACAGGCCCAGAUCGUUCUGCGCUUUCGUUGCCAACGGGCGAGUAAGUAGUGAGUAACUUACCCUUGUCUAUGGGUUGAGUAUGGGCAAGUGGGUCUAAUACUUGCUGUGACUUCUCUUCGCAUGGUGGGGUCAGUAAAGAUUUAUUGGUCUUGGAUGGACUCGCGGGCUAUCCGCUAGUUGGUGAGGUAUUGGUACACUAAGGCGUUGGCGGGUAGCCGGCCUUAGAAGGUGACCAGCCACACUAGGACUGAGACACGGAGCAGAAUGCAACGUGAGGCAGCAGGGGAGAGCAUUACACAAUAGGCGCAAGCCUGUUACAGCGACGUCGCGUGAGUAAAGACGUCCUUCUAGGUGUAAACCACUGUCAAAAGAAAAAAAGCGAGAUUGACGGUACCUACAGAAGAAGCGCCGGCUAACUACGUG
rnacentral:rRNA from 1 species